rnacentral:hammerhead_ribozyme from 1 species
AUCCAGCUGACGAGUCCCAAAUAGGACGAAAGGCUCGUCAAACUAGAU